rnacentral:rRNA from 1 species
UACGUAGGCAGCGAGCGUUGUUCGGAGUUACUGGGCGUAAAGGGUGUGUAGGCGGUUGUUUAAGUUUGGUGUGAAAUCUCCCGGCUCAACUGGGAGGGUGCGCCGAAUACUGAAUGACUUGGAGUGCGGGAGAGGAGAGUGGAAUUCCUGGUGUAGCGGUGAAAUGCGUAGAUAUCGAGAGGAACACCUGCGGCGAAGGCGGGUUGCUGGGCUGACACUGACGCUGAUGCGCGAAAGCCAGGGGAGCGAACGGG